rnacentral:piRNA from 1 species
CUCUAUUCAAAACCAACGUUCGGUUCGCUGC